rnacentral:lncRNA from 1 species
AAUUCACGUAACACCUCCCUUCCCAAUAUGCCAACCUCUUCCUUUGUUCUUAGGGCAUACAAAACCACCGUGGUCUGUGCAUAUCCCUGGGCUGCAAUUCCGUUUUUAUAUACAUUCUCCAGGAAAACCGUCUGCUUAGAGAUUCGCCUCUGUCUUUAUUUCACUGCGGCAGAGUGAAGGUGUUCCGAAGGUGGAGGAGGCCCUCGGGCAGCACUGUUGGCCCUUACCAGCCAUUCCAAUCAUCGUAUUCCUCCAAGGAUGAGCAUACUACCCUUGAUUACAUGUACGCUCCAGUGCAUCCCGGUGAAACCUGCCAGACAAUCUGGGAAUGAGAAAGCUCUUGAAAUCUUCAUGCCAAAGGUGGAGCUUGCACCACGCAAGACAUUUUACAACCAAUCUGCAUCACAAUAAUCCUGCCAGAUGACAUCACAAUGGUCCUGUCAGAUGCAAAGUAUUGAUCCUAGGUGUGGUCUGUGAGGGUGUCGCCCAAGGAGAUGAACAUUUGAGUCAAUGGUCUGGGGAAGGCAGACCCACCCUUAAUCUGGCAGGCACCAUCUAAUCCAAAGGAGGCAGAAAAGCACGAGAAAGUGAGACUCGCCGAGCCUCCCAGCCUCCUAAAUCUUUCUCCCACGCCAGUUGCUUCCUGCGCUGGAACAUCGGACUCCACGUUCUUCCGUUUUGGGACUUGGACUGGCUCUCCUUGCUCCUCAGCUUGCAGACAGCCUGUGGUGUAUUGUGGAACCUGUGAUCGUGUAAGGUGAUACUUAAUAAACUCCCAUAUAUAUAUAUAUAUAUAUAUAUAAUUGCUAUAUAUAUCUAUGGAUAUAUCUCUAUAUCUCUAUAAAUCUAACUAUUGCUAUAUAUAACUAGGGGAUUGCUAUGUAUAUCUAUAUUCUAUAAGUUCUCUUCCUCUAGAGAACCCUAAU